rnacentral:rRNA from 1 species
GCCUGCAACAUAGCGUUAAUGCACUAGAUCCCAUUAGAACUCCAUAGUUAAGCACGCUUAGGCUAGAGUAGUACUGGGAUAAGUGACUGCCCGAGAAGUCCUAGUGUUUUACAUGCC